CCCCAGCCUUGGUCCCAGUUUGACUGGAGCAGCAGUGGCCUUGGCAUCAACCGUCAGGAUGAGCUAGACAGUGACACAAGCAGCCGUCCAGCUGACACCCUGAACCAUCUCAUGUCUACUAUGGAGAACACCACCACCUCCGCCAGGAAACCCCAUAGGGAUGAGGAGGACCAGCUGAGUGAGAAGGCAGCCAGGGUGAUCUGUGGGCUGGCUGACCUGUCCUUCAUGAAGGCUAAGGUCCUAAUGUUCCCCAUCACCCUCACACCAGCCCCUGGCUCUGGUACACUGCUAGAGUGAUGCACACAUACACAUGGACAUACACAUACCCAGUUCCUAGUUGGCCUACUUCUUCAUUGCACAAAGGAAUAACCUCAACCAAAUUCCAAAGACUGGUGACAUCCAGUGGAAGCGGUAGGACCUGAAAACCAGUUCCUGAGAAAUAUUGUUUGCCAACGAGAACUCACUGAACAGAGACCUAAAAAAAAAAAAAAAUCUGAACGGUUAGUCCUCUGGGUUUUGCCUGCUACAGAAGUUCUGUUAUACUCACAUUCAUGAUUCAAACAGUUUUAGAAACUUCAGAGUUUUUCUAUCAAAAUCUACGAAUAAUAUGCAAAUCUUAUAUUCUUGGCAUGAGUAGAUGGAAGUUGAAAUGGGGCAUGCUAUUUAUCCAAAAGUGAAAAUUCUGCCCCCUAGCCCCAAGAGGAUUAAGAGUGUGCUUCUAAUCUCAGUUUGUUACCUGUAUAAAUGACACCUGGGAGCCAGAAAUCUUUCUGAUUUAGAGGGUGUCAAAUACUUAUUUCCCUCAUUAAAAUGCAAAUCAAUUUAUAACAUUUUUGACAUGCAUUUUGUUAUUACUGUCUCUCACUGUUCAAAGAAACCUACCAUUAAAAUUAUAGACUGAUAAUUUCUUUGUCAGUGGGCGAACGUACAAAAUUAGCAGGGAUCAAAUACUUGUUUCCCUCACUGUAGUUAGUCUUUUGUUCUGAAUGUAUUGAUGUAUUUAUGUUGUGACACAGUGGUUGAGGUCUAAGACUGAUCCACAUUUACCUCCAGUCAUCUGCCUCG